rnacentral:lncRNA from 1 species
AUAGAUAUCAACUAGAUCUUGAUAGAUCUUAUCUAUAUUAUUGAUAGACAUUCACUAAGAUCUUAUCUAUAUUCUUGAUAGACAAUCACUAUAAUGUAAAUACAUUCAUAACCUUCCAAUAAUACAUAUACAUACACCUCAACUAUUCGACUUUUUCCGUAUAGACACCUCAAUUAAGCCAUGUGCCUAUUGAACCCUUUACUCCUUCACAAAAUAUGUCAAUUGAACACAAUCGUUGAUGUGACGCUGACAUGGCAUGACAUGUGUAACACACUCUCCAAAUGGGAAGUGAGGAGCCAUUAAUCAAAAAGAUUAAAUAUAAAAAACCCCAACCAAUAAAAAAAAGACACAUAAAAUAAUUUUUUUAAAAAAAAAGAAAUAGUCACCAUCUUCAUCUUCUUCUCCGUACCUUCUUCUUCUUCUCCAUUAAUGGCUACAACCAAAAAAAAGAAUAUCAAUUCAACAUGCACUCAUAUACAAUAAGCAACAAUAAUAAUUUAUUUUUUUUACUCCUUAAAAUUCACUUUUAAUGGCUACAACCAUAUACACUUCCAAAAUAAACUAUUCAGCCUAUUAAUGGCUACAAUCAUUUUAAAAUUCACUCCAUUAAUGGCUACAACCAUUAAAAAGUAUUUUUGUGUCUUCUUCUUACUCUAUUCUUCCACCAUUAAAAUUCAGUUUUACUCCUCCAUUUUCCAUCAAAACAACACCCACAAUCAAAAAAGUCAGGAAGGCAGCUGCGGGGGUGCUUCAAUGAUGGAAAAAAAAAGAAAAUUUUUUAGGAGAUAAAUGAAGGAAAAGAAGAUUCAAUUCUUUUUUUACUUUGUGUGCUCAACAAUGGAAUAAGGGGUAUUUGGAAGGGAAGAGGAGGGGGGUGGGGGGAUGGAGGAGGAAGAUCGGGUAGGUGCUUUAAUGGUGGAAAAAAAAAGGAAAAUUUUUUAGAAGAUAAGUGAAGAAGCAGAAGAAGAUUCUUUUUUUUUUCUUUUGUUUUUCUGUGUUCAACAAUGGAG